UACCCCAUGUUCCCUGCCCAGCACUACUGAGGCCAGACUCAGGAGGAGCUGAGCUUGAGGCCACAGCUGGGGGACUGAUUGGAGCAGAGAGAGGGCCUAACUGGCACCAAGGCCGAUAGAAGGAGAGCAAAGGAAAUCAGGAAGAGCUGGGCCCUGGGGCAGGGACAGAACGGGACAUCAAGGGCAGGGACCCCAGGACUGAAAUGGCAGAUAGAGCCCGAAUGCCUUGUUUUAAAGAGAGAGAGUGGCUCUGAGGGAGCAUGCAACAAGUCUAGGGCAAGACUCAGGCUUCUGGCUCCCUGGGGUGGUUGGGCUGGGACUGUGGGCACUCCCCGUUUGUGUAACCUGCCUCUGGCUGCACUCCCCACAGAAAAUCACCGUGCUGAUUGGGAAGCCCUUCAGUGCCCUGCCCACGCAUGAGCAGCUCCGGGCAGAGAACAAGGCAGCUGUGGAGAUGCGCAAAGUCCUGGCUGAAUUCACUCAGGAGGAAUCCCAGCGCCUGAAGACCCAGGCUGAGCAGCUCCACAGCCACCUGCAGCCUCGGAGAUAGGCACCACCCUGCCCAGACCCUGUCCUUGCUUCCUUUCAGGAGAGGGCAGCCAGCCCCUGAGGCCCGGGAAAGAGGCUGUCCUGGGACCCAAGCCCCAACUGCUGGGCUCUCAGCACCAUCCUUGGGUUCUUGCCUGGCACAGAGAUGGGGCUGGGGGAUGGACUCGUGCUUUGAGCUCAGCUCUGGUUUUGUAGACAGAUUUGUUCAUAACCCUUAACGGAUACCCUCCCCUAGAUGGUGAGCAUUCCAGCUCCUCUCGUUCUUCACGUGAAGGAAGGCUCUCAGCUACUCCUCCCACUUGGCCAUGAAAGGAGGAAGAAAUUUAGGCUGGAGCCUCCUUCCUGCUUGCUUCCAGGCUUUCCCUCCAGGGCUGGGGUCAGGAGGCAGAGUAGUUGAAGGAGGUGGGGUGGCCAGGACAGACCUUCAGGGAGGGGCCCAUGAAGGGGUGGGCCCAGGCCUCCGACCACCCACCCUGAUCAGGGAUGGCCACUAGCCACGUCUUCCUUCUGCCCAUGCUUCCCACAGGUGUGGGACUCUUGGGCAGGGCCCAGCCUCAGGCUGCAGGCAGAAGAGCAGCCAUUUGCCAGAAGUGGAGCCCAGUCAAACAGCCUGUAGCCAGGGCUCACUGACUUCUCUUGUCCUUCCCACCCCCUAGCAUCACUCAAGUACCAUGGAGCCUAGGUUUUCAUGUUUUGUAAACAAUAAAGUAUCUGUGUUGUACUGUUUUA